AGCGUAUAUUAAAGUUGUUGCAGUUAAAAAAGCUCAUAGUUGAAUUUCGGGAUUAGCACGAUGGUCGUGCCUUCGGUACGUACUGGUGUUACUGAUUCCUACCUUCUGACGAACCAUCAUGUCAUUAAUUUGGUGUGGCGGGAAAUCAUGACUGUUACUUUGAAAAAAUUAGAGUGUUUAAAGCAGGCUCGCGCUUGAAUACAUUAGCAUGGAAUAAUGAAAUAGGACGUUGAUCCUAUUUUGUUGGUUUCUAGAAUUGACGUAAUGAUUAAUAGGGAUAGUUGGGGGCAUUAGUAUUCAAUUGUCAGAGGUGAAAUUCUUGGAUUUAUUGAAGACUAACUACUGCGAAAGCAUUUGCCAAGGAUGUUUUCAUUAAUCAAGAACGAAAGUUAGGGGAUCGAAGACGAUCAGAUACCGUCGUAGUCUUAACCAUAAAC
rnacentral:rRNA from 1 species